AUGCGCGGUCUGCCUCCCGCGGCGGGCCGGGUCUCCAGGGAGGACCUGAGUUUUCUUCACCCAUUGUCAGGGAGGCGCCAUCGCCCUGGCUUUGGGGCUGGGGCCUCCGGGGAGGUUCCGGUAGGGGCGUUGGAGAGGCCGCUCUUUUUGCAAGGCCCGAGACGGCGGGCCUUGCGCAGGCCGCCCUAUUCCGCGCCCUCAGGGCGUCAGUAUCAGCCUGAGGCUGGAUACCCCCGCUGGGCCCAGAUGCCCCCGCUGGGCCCGGAGCAUCCUCCGGCGCUGCCCUCCCAGAGCCACGCAGAGGCUGAGGUGGCGCGGGGGCGGCCCUGGCUCCGCGAGAAGCGGCGGCAGCGAGGGCUGGAGGACCCGGGCUGCGGGGCUCCGGGGCGUCUGGCCUGGGUGGGACUGAGCCCAUCCAGGGACUGGGACUCCGGGGUUCUGGUGUAGGUGGAUCCGGGGCAGGCUCAGGACCAAGUCCCUCUCCUUCCACCAAGGAGCGCCCAGAGGCCGGCGGGAGCUCCAGGUUCACCUCCUCCUCCUCCAGGAAAUCCCACUUCCAACUGGAUGUCUGGAUGAACUACUGAAAGCUGCUGAGUGUCCUGCAGCAGGCCAUUUCCAAUCCAGCGGAAGACCUUCUAGAAGAGAUGAUGGUGGGAGAGUGCUGACAUACUAUGUGAAGCUACUAUUUGGAGUUGGACACGAGUGCAUGUGUCCUUGUGCCACAACGGGAAUCUUGACUACAACACAAAUGAAUCCACUCAAAUGUUGGCAAGUGGAGCAGAGUCCCAGAACAGUCUGCAAUCUCUACAGGUACAGAAACACCCCCAGUUCAAGGAUCUUCACACCUGGAUUUAGGCCUACUCCUGCAACUACCCCAGGCACCAAUUUGAUCUUCUACUACUUUGCAGACAUCUCUUCUGCAAACACCAGACAAAUUGAGACAAUGACCUUCCACAGGACCCAAAUCACCUCUUACUGCAGGAAAGAAGAUCCAGUGAGAAAAUUAGUCCACAAAUGGAAUGUAAAUCCAUAAACACUCUUAAGUAACAGAAUAAAUUUAGUAUGAACGUU